rnacentral:rRNA from 1 species
CCUACGGGGGGCAGCAGUGAGGAAUAUUGGUCAAUGGGCUUACGCCUGAACCAGCCAAGUCGCGUGAGGGAAGACUGCCCUAUGGGUUGUAAACCUCUUUUGUCAGGGAGCAACGCCGGCUACGUGUAGCCGGACUGAGAGUACCUGAAGAAAAAGCAUCGGCUAACUCCGUGCCAGCAGCCGCGGUAAUACGGAGGAUGCGAGCGUUAUCCGGAUUUAUUGGGUUUAAGGGGUGCGUAGGCGGAAUGCCAAGUCAGCGGGAAAAUCGCGGGGCUCAACCUCGCUCCGCCGUUGAAGCUGGCGUUCUUGAGUGGGCGAGAAGUAUGCGGAAUGCGUGGUGUAGCGGUGAAAUGCAUAGAUAUCACGCAGAACUCCGAUUGCGAAGGCAGCAUACCGGCGCCCAACUGACGCUGAAGCACGAAAGCGUGGGUAUCGAACAGGAUUAGAUACCCUUGUAGUC